AUUGAACGCUGGCGGCAGGCCUAACACAUGCAAGUCGAACGGUAACAGGAAGAAGCUUGCUUCUUUGCUGACGAGUGGCGGACGGGUGAGUAAUGUCUGGGAAACUGCCUGAUGGAGGGGGAUAACUACUGGAAACGGUAGCUAAUACCGCAUAAUGUCGCAAGACCAAAGAGGGGGACCUUCGGGCCUCUUGCCAUCGGAUGUGCCCAGAUGGGAUUAGCUAGUAGGUGGGGUAACGGCUCACCUAGGCGACGAUCCCAGCUGGUCUGAGAGGAUGACCAGCCACACUGGAACUGAGGCACGGUCCAGACUCCUGCGGGAGGCAGCAGUGGGGAAUAUUGCACAAUGGGCGCAAGCCUGAUGCAGCUAUGCCGCGUGUAUGAAGAAGGCCUUCGGGUUGUAAAGUACUUUCAGCGGGGAGGAAGGGAGUAAAGUUAAUACCUUUGCUCAUUGACGUUACCCGCAGAAGAAGCACCGGCUAACUCCGUG
rnacentral:rRNA from 1 species